rnacentral:rRNA from 1 species
UGGGGAAUAUUGCACAAUGGGCGCAAGCCUGAUGCAGCGACGCCGCGUGGGGGAUGACGGCCUUCGGGUUUUAAACUCCUUUCGCUAGGGACGAAGCUUUUUGUGACGGUACCUAGAUAAGAAGCAUCGGCUAACUACGUGCCAGCAGCCGCGGUAAUACGUAGGGUGCGAGUGUUGUCCGGAAUUACUGGGCGUAAAGGGCUCGUAGGUGGUUUGUCGCGUCGUCUGUGAAAUUCCGGGGCUUAACUCCGGGCGAGCAGGCGAUACGGGCAUAACUUGAGUACUGUAGUGGUAACUGGAAUUCCUGGUGUAGCGGUGAAAUGCGCAGAUAUCAGGAGGAACACCGAUGGCGAAGGCAGGUUACUGGGCAGUUACUGACGCUGAGGAGCGAAAGCAUGGGUAGCGAACAGG